UACGGGGGGGGCAAGCGUUGUUCGGAAUUACUGGGCGUAAAGGGCUCGUAGGCGGCCAACUAAGUCGGAUGUGAAAUCCCCAGGCUCAACUUGGGAACUGCAUCCGAUACUGGAUGGCUUGAAUUCGGGAGAGGGAUGCAGAAUUCCAGGUGUAGCGGUGAAAUGCGUAGAUAUCUGGAGGAAUACCGGUGGCGAAGGCGGCAUCCUGGACCGGUAUUGACGCUGAGGCGCGAAAGCUAGGGUAGCAAACGGG
rnacentral:rRNA from 1 species